rnacentral:lncRNA from 1 species
AUACAGUUUUUCUGCAUCUUUUUAAACUCAUUGAUCAGUUUUAUAAUCACUCUUUUGAAUUCAUUAUCUGGUAUUUAAUUCAUUUCAAUAUUUUUGGUAUCCCUUGAUGGUGAAUUAUGAACUUGAAUUGCUAUCUACUUUUUCAUAUUUCUUAUAUUUUGGGGUUGGGUUUUAUGCAUCUAUUUGGAUAAUUUUUUUCCCACUCUCGUGUGUGGGUCUUCUCUUGUGAAAUUGUUCUGGGAUAUCAGAUUAUUGUAAAUUUGUUAAUAUAUUUUCAAAUGGGUUUUGUAUUAUAAUUUCCCUGCUAGUCCUUUGGUGAUGAUCAGUAUAAUUUGAUAUAGUAUAUAUAUAUAUUGUGUCAGAGGUUGAGGAUUUUACUUUCCCUAUAGGUCUCAAGAAUGGGAUUCUUCUUGUAGAUUUGACAGUUGUAUUGUAUACAGCAGGAUAUGUGGGGUACACCCUCUGUGAUUACUCUUCUUCACUUAACAACUCUUUAUAUUAUAAAGGGGCAUGGAAGUGAUCUAGAUUGAGACCCCUCAAAAGUCCAUAGUCUUUGUGUCAAUUCUCUCUGCUUUUGCUGUAGGAGUGGAGGUCCAUGUGUGUACCUGAGGGCACACUCUAACUGUUCUUACUUGGAACAGCCAUUCAGGGUGGACAUAUUUCUGCAAAUGUGCUUCUGGAAGCCAGUCAUAGGGUCUGUACUUGAGUGGCAGUUUCUCCCAAUGAUAUUAAUUCAUUGAGCUUCUGAAAGUCUCCAAUCCUGGAAUUCCAUGGUGCCCCAAAUUGCUAUAUAAAUCAAUAAACUUACUCUCUUUAGAGACUCUGACCUGCCAGAAUGACUGUGAUAGGCAAUAAAUGCAUCUCUGCGCCUUUAUUUCAGGUGUUGUGUGGUAGCCUCAUCACCUGUGACCAGGGGAGGGCUGUCCCUGCCUCCACUUAUUUCAACGUCUGCUGCUUGCUUCCCCAGGAAACACGAGCUCCAGAUCAUGUGGCUGCUCAGGACAAACUCUAGGACUGAAACAAGAAGGCACUUAAUGUUUGCUGAUGUGAGGCUGAUGUGUUAUGGAUGUAACCAUGAGCAAUGGAGACCCAGCCCUCCUCCUCAGAAGGCCUAUGUCUGACCUAAGUGGACAGAUGACCUUCAGAGUGUGGCCAUGCUAUCUGAGUGCUCAGCAGGGACCCUGAAAAAAACCACAUGGAUCCUGGUGGGAGGCUCUCCACAGGAAAUGGUGUUAAGGUUGGAACCUGAAAGUUAUGCAGAAUGCUGCCAGGCAAAGGGGACCUGGGAUCCCAAGAGAAUGGUCUGGAUGGAGGGUGACAUAGGAUGAUUUUAUGACAUCCCAGUGAAUGUCACCUCUUAAGUCAUGCCUUUGUGUGGGCCCCUCCCUCACAGAACAAGAGCUGGUCUGUAUGGCCAACAGAAUGGCAGAAAUCAUGCUGAAUCAGCUCUGGGAGGAGAGGGUGAGAAGAGUGGCACCCACAGGCUAUGCGAGAGUGCUCGCUCUUCUUCCUUUCCUCCUCUCUCUGCGAUUCUCUGUCUCCCUCUCUGUGUCUUGUGGACACAGAUGUCCACCUCUGUCUCAGUCUCUUUCUCUCUCUUCCUCACUUUUUCAUCUCUCAUUCUGUUGCAAUGUCUGUCUCACUGCCUCUCUCUCUCUCUCUGCCUCCCUCCCUGUUCCUCCUCACCUCUUCUCCUCCUCACCAUUUGCUCUGGGGAGAGCUCUCUGCUCUGCUCAGCAUCUUAUGGAGAAGCUGGAGUGGAUCCCCCUGCUUCUCCUCUUUCACUCUCUAGGGCUUGAUUCUUGCCUCUUUCUCCCAGGGCCAUAAGUUUAUGACUUGAUCUACAGCGGAUUGCAGUUCCCAAGGGAUACCCUAAGGCACUGGCUGUGCAAGCUGGAACUGGAGGGAACACCGUGGGAUAGAAGUCUGGACUUAGGAGUCCUUAGCCUAUGGACCAUGCUGGUGUGUACAGAAGGAUGAGGCAGAACAAGACACACGUUUCCCUGAGCAGUGCCCUCUGCCCUGCAUGGCCUGAACUUGGGCAUAGGAGUCUGGUGAGGGUUUUGACUGAAUUCCUUCCUCAGGAGGGCUGUCAGGCUGGAAGCUUGGUGUCAAAUAAGCAGGAAAAUCUCCAUAAAAAUAAAAUGCUAAUGAUCUGCCACAAAGUACUAAGGGGAAGGUGAGGGAAUAGCAGUGUAUUCUAGGAUGACUGCAGGGGAGGGAAAAUAACAUCUCCAGAAGAAUUUCCUUUCUUCUCCCACUGAUGAGCCUGUUGCCAGAUGAGAAGGGAGCAGGUGGGGUGAAGCUCACAUCAAAGUGCCACAGAGAAGGCUCAGGAGGGACAUGAAUAGAGAAAGGACAAGUGGAACAAGAGGCCAACAAAUCUAUAAAAAGAAAAGAGGGGUGCCUGGUGAGGGAGCCCAGAGGGAGUGUUCUGUUGGAUUCUGCUGACACUGGGUGUGUGGGGGUCUGAGAGCCAGGAGAGACGGGGUCUGCAAAGUGCACUAGUGUCCCUGAUUCAAUGACAGUCUGUCCUGUACCAAAGGCAUCAAGGGCCCUACAACUUGCACAGAAAACCAAACAAAACCAAAGCCAAGAAAAAACAAGAAGAAAGAAUAAAGGUAGGAAAGGGAGGGAGGGAGGAGGAGGGAAGCACAGAACAACACCCUCCCUCAGACCCUUCUACCUUCUCUACUGCUCUUCAACCUCUCAGAACAGUGACCUCCUCACCCAGAGGGAGCCACACGUUUGAAUCCAAUUGCUGAUUGUUGGAAAUGAUCACACAAGAAUCUGGGAAUGGAAGGCUGGGAGGAGAGCACUCAGGGUGUGAUGAACAAAUACACAGAAUGAUGGGGCUCAUCGAGGAAUUUCCUAUGUUGGGUCCCUGUUAUCUGUAGAAUUACAGAAAUGGAAGAGUUUAUUCUGCUCAGGAUCUUCCUGUGCAUAGAAAAACUGAACUCCUGUUUAGCCAACCAUCUGUCUUUCUGGUAUAAAGGAAUUUAUCUUUGAAACUGCAGACCAGCUUCACAGGAGGGGACAGGAGGCUGUGUACUUGAGAGCGAGACUGCCUACAGACUAGGAGGAAGAGCAACACCUCGGCCACAGUGUCCAGGGACCUGAGCUUUCCAUGGAUAGUUUGCAUUUCCCCAUAGUGAACGGGAUAGGAGAAAUCAAAGUCAAGAUUGAAGCAUGGAGACAAAUGAAGGUGUCUGGGGAGGCUGUUCAUGAUGUCACAGGGUCUAGUGACCUGCUUCCUCUCUCAUAUUUCAAUUCCAUUUAAAAAGUAAGUUUUAUUUUAUCACUUUCCUGUAGAAACUUAUAAUCAUGUGCACAACGUGCUUCCUAUUUAUUUGAUUUUUAGGCAUAGUAUAAGGCCCCUGCAAUAAUGAAUGACAACAUGAAGAUUUUGUUGGGGUGAUAAUUUUAAUUGUUGCUACUCAUUUCACUAACUACUGUGACAAGACUCAUUUUUAAGGGGAGGUGAACAUAGUGCAAAUUGAAUGUUAGACACCAGGAAGGAAUGGAAGAAGUGGACAUUUAGAUAGUGGCUGAGUUUUCCAACUCUAGGGGUUGAAAUGUCAUAUCCAGGAAGGAUGGGGACAGAAGCCAAGAGAACGGAGGCAGGGUGGAGUGGAGCCAGUCUCCUUGCUGUCUGCAGGUGGACUGGGGUGGAACUUGGCCACAUCCAGAGGAAUAAGUGGGAUUCCAGAAUGAUAGCCCCUGAGGUGAUGCUUUGUGAAACAACAGACAUCAUUCACAUAGUGGAUACCUAGUGGUCGCCAUUACCAGCCCUGACCCAGGGGGGCUCAUUGACCCUCACAGCCUUAUAAGGUAGGUAUUAUUCAUCUGCCUAUCUUACAGAUGAGAAAAUGGAGGCAGGGAAAGGUUAGUCCCUGGUGUCUCAGGUCGCAUAUAUGGUAGGUGGUAGAGGCAGAUUUUGUUGGGUACUCAAGUCAUCCAUAGUUUUAACUACAUGUGGUCCUUAGACUUAAAAGCUCAGAUGUUUUCUUGCCUUAAGUGGUAGACUCUUCUAUUUCAAUUUCCUCAUCUGCAAAAUGAGGAUGGUAGAGCUUGAAUUCAUGUGGUAGUGAAAGGAUAGAAAUGAGCUACUUCGCUCCUUUAUGGGGAUUGUCAGGAAGCCUGACACAUGGCAAGUGCUAGACAGAUCACAGAUGUGUACCCAUGGGGGCUGAUGUAAGACAGCUUCUGGCAGGCUCUGCUUGUCGGGACGUCACGGUGACAACAGGUAGGCUCACGAAGGUACCUGGCAUGACGGGCCAGCCAUUUGCCUAAGUACAUCCAGCUACGUUCACCCAGCUCAAGGAAUGUUGGAGUACCUUGAUGGAGCUUUGGGUACUUGAGUAGAGUCUGUUCCAUGUUUCAAAGCUGGUUAUUGACCCUCUCUGUGCCUCAGUUUUCUCAUGUAUGAAUGGGAGAAAGGAAUUCAUGCUUCCCAGAGUUCUUGGAAAGAGAAAAAGAGAUAAUAUGUGUAAAACAGACAUAAAAGAAACUCAACUGUUCAUUAGCUUUGUCUUCCUUAUUGAGUUAUUGUUUAGGCUGAUGUCCAGAGGUGGAAUGGAUCUCACUGAGGCAGGGAGUGUCCAUAGUCCUGGGCUUCACAGGGCCAAGUCUGACUUGAAUGACCACAAUCUGGCUGAAUUAUAUGUGGAGGGAGAUGUCCUCGGAAAGGCUCUCUGUGGCCCUUUUAGUGGUCAUGAUGUGUGGGCUAUGACAACUAUCAAUGCUCAUUUAGAGGAAUGGGUAUUAAAAAAAAAACUCCAAAUGUCCUUUUCCUGAACCCACCACAUCCUGCAGUUGAGCAGUGGCACCGCACACUUGGUUUGCUCUCAACACCUGUUCUGGACACCCGGAGCCUUCUGUUAACUCUCUACUGCUCAAUGGAAAUCCUGAUAAUGGAGUCAUGAGAAAACACUCACAAGGCUUCUUUCCCAUCUGGUGACCCCAGAGCUAAACACCAUAGGAAUUAGAAUCCCUAAUUUGCGUGAAGAAGAAUGACUAGAGGACCCAUCCUCUUGGGCUCCAGUGGCCUCAGGCGACUCUCAAUGGAAGACAACCCGGGGCCCACUCCUCCUGAAAUGGGGGUUGUGCAAACUCACAUCCACAGGUCCUCAUUCCAUGAGCACCUUCUGAUUCAAAGUCCAUCAAUUAAAACAAAUCCCUUCAUUUUAGACAGAAGUGCCAUAAUACAGGCACCAUCCAGGGGGCUUGUAUUCUGACAUUACAAGAAGCUGUGAAAUUACACAGCAAUAAAUAAUAAAGUCCUAGGCUUAGAAUCUCUAAUCAUCAUUCCCAAAUUGAUUUUAAAAAUAAUGAGGGGUAUUGUUUAUAGAAUGAUUAGGGAAAACUUAAAAUUCAUUAAAUGUCUCUCUAAGUCUUUUAUUUUCUUCAAUGGAAUUUUCAAGUACUUGGAUAUGUUCUCUGUUAUCAAAACAUGUAGAUGGAAGGAAUAUAUUUAAGCUAAAUACAUUGCUUUGUCCUGCAUCCUCGUGGGCACUUCACAGCAUCCAUGGCUCAUGUCCUCGUGUAGUUAUGAACCUUAGUGUGGGUAGCUGACAAAAGCCAGUUGUCCUACCGUUUUCAUCUACUGAAAUUCAGAAUCAACAUCACUAACAUUUAUUUUGUGCAUGGAGGUUCAACUCUAGUAUUUUGAGUCCCCGGAUGAUCUGAGAAAUUUAGUGGACAGAAGAUGUAUCAAUUGUUAAUUUCUUGAAUGACAACCCUGUCUCUAAACACUUUGCCUCUUUCUGUCUUUAAAGAGCAUCCAGCUGAUAUUUCUUCCAUUAAACAAGAAGAGUAUAUGCAGGAUUAUUAACCUUAGUUACUUACAUAUAACUUUAUGGACAAUAAUAAGGCAAAACUACCAGUGAUAUGGUACCCCUUGUGUCCCAGAGGAUUGGAUUAUAUUUUCCUUUUUUGGUACUGGGAAUUGAACCUAGGGGGUGUUUAACCCCUGAGCCACAUCCCCAGCACUUUUUUUUUUUAUUGUGAGACAGGGACUCUCUGAGUUGCUUAGGGCCUCCCUAAAUUGUUGAGGCUGGCUUUGAAUUCCAAAUCCUCUUGCCUCAACCUCCUGAGCUGCUGGGAUUAGAGGCAUGCACCACCACGCCCAGCAGCAGACUGUUUUUAAAUCAGUGGGUUGGAGUCACCGUAACAAUAGUACCCCAUGGCCCAUGGAGUCCAUGGCUGGAGGUCCAUAUUCCCCCUGUCUGUUUCCACCUGUUGGAUUGAUUAUUGAAAAGUAGUUUGGCCUCAAAUCUGUGCCUUCUGUAUUUGUUAGUGAAAAUUGGCAAGUUAACCGAGUAUUAGGUACACCCAUGAAAUGCAAGAUCAAAAAGAAAUGCUGAGAUGUGCUGUUUCUAUGAAGUUAAUUAAAUGCUUUGGAAAGAAUAAAAGAAUGAGUAACAAAAACACGUGGUUGAACCAGAUGAAAGUGAGGCAGCUGCAGAUGACUGAGAGACUGAAACACAUUGGAUAGAUUAUUAAGUGUCUUUAGAGAUCAUUUAAGCUCUUGACCUGUUUGUUUUUUUUUAACUUGUUCUAAUUAGUUAUACAUGACAGCAGAAUGCAUUUCGAUUCACUGUACACAAAUGGAGCACAACUUUUCAUUUAUCUGGUUGCAUGCAAUGUAGAAUCACACCAUUCAUGCAAGCAUACAUGGUGUACCAGCAGGGAUUUUGGCAGGCAGGGUGUGGAUUCAGGAAGGAGGAGGACCUGUAUGGGCUGAGCUCACAGGAAAGGCCUGGUCUUUCAUGAAAGGAUUGGAACAACUCACAUGUUUUAAAACUUAGACAAGUAGAGAAAAAAUUUUUUUAAAAAAAACACAGUUUGGGGUUUAUAGCAUGAUCAAGCAGUAAUUAACAUAUCUCAGGUACCUUCCCACCCCCUCUCUGGUCUCCCUGACUAUCCACACCCCCACCUCCGCCCCUGAGUGGCACUUUUAUUACCAUGAAUGAACCCACAUCCCUGACACAUCCUGAUCACCCAGAGCCCAGAGUUUGCAUUGGAGUUCAGCGUUUACUUGUUACUUGUCGGGGAACCUAAUCUACCUUGAACAUUCUGGACAUGAAGAUUGAAAUUUUUCUUAGCCAAUUUUAAAACUUAACCAACCUCUUACUAAUACCACUUCUAUUAAGUAAAAGCUUUGCAAGGUAAAAAAUGAAGCAAUUUCCCUUAAAAAGGAAUAGUAAAGUGCUGAGGCUCAGGAUGAAAUUGCUUUUCACAUGAAUUUCUGGAUGGGAGAAACCGAGAGCAUUGGAGGCCACAGUUGGAAUGACCAUUCUCUGCCCUCUGAGUUGCCGUGUGCAGCUCGGCCAAGCAGACCCGGCAGAUGGAGGUGGUUAUGACAACCAUGAUGGGGUAGCCCGUAGGGUUGGCUCUUGCCAGCUUUAAGUGGGUUGUAAGGAACUCCUGCACAAUUACUGACAUAUCUACAUGGAACCUUCCACCUGUCAGACUCCAGGGGAAUCGAGCUCACCCAGAGCUGAUCCCUUUCUGCAAAGGUUUCCAUGCACACUGUGCUGUGCUCCUCUGGAGCUCAGGAAGGGAACAAGAAUCAGAACAGUUCCUCACUUGUCACCUGCUGGUCCCCUUGGGAAGAAUAUAGCCACAGGCAGCCUCUAGUUGUGUUUUGUGUUUCUUAGUUUAACCUAAUGCAACUAUGGGAUCAUUUUCUUUAGGUUGGCGAACUAUUUAAGUAUAUAAACACUCCCCCCUCCCCAUUCUGUUUUCAGACCUUAUUUAAAGACUGAAGUCUGUUCAUUACUCCAUCAGAUAAAUUUUACUGCAGGAUUUUGGGGGUGAAAAAACUGUGAAUCAGAUUAACGAACAGGACUGAACAAGUAGCUAGCUCACGAAGGCUGACUGUUAAUAAAUAGUAAAUAUAUUGGUGGAGGGGAAAUACUUCUUUAAAUAAGAAGUAAAUAAGAUAAUAAGAAGUAGAUUAACAGCAUAGUACAGUGAUGCAGUCACAUCACUGUUUAUAGCAGCUCAAUUCACAAUAGAUAAGCUCUGGAACUAACCUAGGUGCACUUCAACAGAUGAAUGGAUGAAGAAAACGUGGUACAUAUACACAAUGGAAUAUUACUCAGCCAUAAAUAAGAAUGAAAUUAUGGCAUUUGCCAGUAAAUGGAAAGAACUGGAGAAUAUUAUACUGAGAGAAAUAAGCCAACCCCUAAAAACCAAAGGCCAAAUGUUCUCUCUGAUAAUAUGGAUGCUGACUCACAACAAGGGAGGGGCAGGAGAGGAAGAACAGAAGUUCAUUGGAUUAGACAAAGGGGAAUGAAGGGAAGGGAGAGGGAUGGGAAAGGGAAAGACCAUAGAAUGAGUGGGACACAACAUUCCUAUGUUCAUAUAUGAAUACAUGACCAGUGAAACUCCACAGGAUGUACGACCACAAGAAUGGGAAGUUAUAUGGCAUGUAUGUAUGAUGUGUUGAUUAUACUCUACUGUCAUGCAUAUUAAAAAGAACAAAUAAAAUUGGUUGUUUUAUGAAAUAAAAAGUAGAUAAAGUUUUCCCAAGUUACUGUUUUUGUACAGGUGUAUUUUUAGUCCUCCUAGGAACGCCCUGCAUAUGGCUCACUGGCUGUGUGUAACUAGACUGCCAUUCUACCUCUCUGGGCUGAAGUUCCCUCCCUGUGUAAGGGGAACCUGACAGUACAGGUAGUGUUGCUUGUUGCAAAGAUUAAAUCCGGGAAAAUAUGUGAUGAAGUUAAAACAGACCCUGGCUCACAGUAAGAAUCUAGCACAAGCACUGGUUUCUCAGCUUUCCCUGAAGGUAGAAGAUAAGCCCUGAUAUUUGGCCAGUGUCUUGCUCUACACCAGACUUUUCACAAAGUAAAGGACAUGGGGGAACACCUUCCUGCAUUUUCAACACCAUGUAUACGAUAUAGUUAUUUUGAGUAGCUUUGUGUGACAUUUCUGCUACAAACGGUUAAAGGACUCCAGCAACUUAGGCCAAAUUGCAGCUCAAAGAGUUUUCCACUGAGAAGGAAGCAGGAUCAAGAACAUCUGGACACUUGGACGCGUCCAGCCGUCACCCAGCUCCUGGGCCUGUGUGUGCUCCCCUCUCAGCCUGCUGGCCUUGCUCAGGCCUCCUUUGGAUAUGACUUGUCUCCUAACAGUGAAUUUGACAGUGCAGCAUGUGUAUUUUCUCUUUGUUGUCAUGUGCAAUGUUUAUCACAAAGCUACUGAUUGUGGUGACUUUGUUUAAUAAUAUGGAUGUUUCUGAAACAUAAAUCAGCUUCAUAUUGACACACAGAAACGCCUGAAGUGGUUUAGUAUUUACUGUGUUUUAUUGCUUUCAAGUUGCACUCUUAAUUAUUCUGUAGACAGUAACAACAAGGCUUUACCACUCAUGGAUCAAAAUGAGAAGUGAAAAUUCCAGCUAAGAAUGUGUAUAGCAAGCAAGCACAUAAAACCUAAACUCCUACAAAAACAAGAAAUAAAAAACCCCCCUUCAAAUACCCCAAAACAAAACAACCAAUUUACCAAAUAAAAAACAGAGUCAAGGGGGAAAGGAAGGACAGCAGAAUAAAAUAGACAUUUUUAUUGCUGUAUGUAUAUACGUGACUGCAUGACCAAUGUGAUUCUGCAACCUGUACACUCAGAAAAAUGAGAAAUUAUACCCCAUCUGAUUCAAAUGUAUGAUAUGUCAAGAUCAUUGUACGGUCAUGUGUAACUAAUUAAAUAAAACAGAGUCAAGUCUUUAUGUUGAAAUUUUUCAGAAAAGCAUAUCAGUAUAUAUACUGGCCAGUCUUUACAUUGACAUUUUUUGAAAAUAUAUCCAUGUACUCAAAAUGUAAGCUGACUUGCUUAGAUUUGUGAACAGUUUCUUCACCUACUUCUCAACGAAUACUGGAAUUUAAAUCACUCUGAAAUAAAAACAGUCCACAAUUUGUAAGAAUGUAAUCUAAGCUGAAAAAUUGUCCACUUUUGUGAUUUUUUUUUGUUAUCAUUAAAAUUAAAGUUGGUUGGAUUCUAGAGCUGC